AGGAGUCAUGGCUGAGCGUUCUCCUGACAGCCCAGUUUGCCCACAUGUGAAACAAAGCAGAGCAGUGGAAAUUCAUUUGGCUUGAAUGAAUAACCCUCUUAUAUGCUAAUUUAUACUCUUGAACAUUUAUAUGUGUUUGCUCGGAAGCUUACCCUUCAGAAAUUAUUCAGCUCUCUACCUGCAGAAUCUUCUUCCUAUUUGUGAAACAUAUAACUUUGCCAUGUUAAUUUACUCUAAAUUUGGGGGCUUUUCUUCUUUUUUGUAGCUGUUGUUUCUGAAACACCAAACUCAUCUCAGGAUGCCUUCCAACUUAGCAAACUGGGAGGAAAAGAUGAAAAAAAUCAUCAACUUCAAAAACACUCAACAGGCUCCCAGGAUGGUCCUGUGAGCGUUCCCAGCAGCAGUGACAGCAGGGAGGACCCACUCCACAAAGCUCUAAAGAAGAAGAGCAUCAAGUCCUCCACUGGUCAUUUGUUUGGCAAAAAGGAAAAGGGUUCGCCUGGACAAACUGGCAAAGAAUCACCAAGACAAGGUGGGCCGGUUUUAGGCAGCUGUCCUAACUGCUGGGAUUGGGAGAACAUGCCCUUUUUCCUAUGUACCUGCCACAGGUGUCCAGUGCCCACAAGGAAUCAUGGCUGAGCAUUCUCAAGACAGCCCAGUCUGCCCACAUGUGAACCAGAGCAGAGCAGUGGACAUUCAUUUGGCGUGAAUGAAUAACCCUCUUAUAUGCUAAUUUAUACGCUUGAACAUUUAUAUGUGUUUGCUCAGAAGCUUACCCUUCAGAAAUUAUUCAGCUCUCUACCUGCAGAAUCUUCUUCCUAUUUGUGAAACGUAUAACUUUGCCAUGUUAAUUUACUCUAAAUUUGGGGAAUUUUCUUCUUUUUUGUAGCUGUUGUUUCUGAAACAGAAAACUCAUCUCAGGAUGCCUUCCAACUUAGCAAAUUGGGAGGAAAGGAUGAAAAAAAUCGUCAACUUCAAAAACACUCAACAGGCUCCCAGGAAGGUCCUGUGAACAAUCCCAGUACCAGUGACAGCAGGCAGGACGCGCUCCACAAAGCCCCAAAGAAGAAGAGCAUCAAGUCCUCCACUGGUCGUUUGUUUGGCAAAAAGGAAAAGGGUCCGCCUGGACAAACUGGCAAAGAAUCACCAAGACAAGGUGGGCCGGUUUUAGGCAGCUGUCCUAACUGCUGGGAUUGGGAGAGCAUGCGCUUUUUCCUAUGUACCUGCCACAGGUGUCCAGUGCCCACAAGGAAUCAUGGCUGAGCAUUCUCCAGACAGCCCAGUCUGCCCACAUGUGAACCAGAGCAGAGCAGUGGACAUUCAUUUGGCGUGAAUGAAUAACCCUCUUAUAUGCUAAUUUAUACGCUUGAACAUUUAUAUGUGUUUGCUCGGAAGCUUACCCUUCAGAAAUGAUUCAGCUCUCUACCUGCAGAAUCUUCUUCCUAUUUGUGAAACAUAUAACUUUGCCAUGUUAAUUUACUCUAAAUUUGGUGAAUUUUCUUCUUUUUUGUAGCUGUUGUUUCUGAAACAGAAAACUCAUCUCAGGAUGCCUUCCAACUUAGCAAAUUGGGAGGAAAGGAUGAAAAAAAUCAUCAACUUCAAAAACACUCAACAGGCUCCCAGGAAGGUCCUGUGAACAAUCCCAGUACCAGUGACAGCAGGCAGGACGCGCUCCACAAAGCCCCAAAGAAGAAGAGCAUCAAGUCCUCCACUGGUCGUUUGUUUGGCAAAAAGAAAAAGGUUCUGCCUGGACAAACUGGCAAAGAAUCACCAAGACAAGGUGGGCCGGUUUUAGGCAGCUGUCCUAACUGCUGGGAUUGGGAGAGCCUGAGAUUUUUCCU